UACAGAGGGUGCAAGCGUUAAUCGGAAUUACUGGGCGUAAAGCGUGCGUAGUCGGUUAUCUAAGUCGGAUGUGAAAUCCCCGGGCUCAACCUGGGAACUGCAUUUGAAACUACGGGGCUAGAGUGUGUCAGAGGGGGGUGGAAUUCCACGUGUAGCAGUGAAAUGCGUAGAGAUGUGGAGGAACACCAAUGGCGAAGGCAGCCCCCUGGGAUGACACUGACGCUCAUGCACGAAAGCGUGGGGAGCAAACAGG
rnacentral:rRNA from 1 species